CACAAGUGGCUGAGUUCCGAGAGACUUUAUGAAGCACUUUCCUGCCUCCUUCCUGCUUGCAGAAGGGGUUUCUGCACCUGCAUCAGGGACAGUCUGACAAAAGCCUCUGCUGUGCCUCCGGGGACCAGGAACGAGCACGAAUAUCCACUAUGAAACUGGAUCUUAAUAAAAUUUCCAACAAAUCCAUAAAAGGCACUGAAAGCAGUCGGAUCUAUAUCCUUAAUGGCAGUCCCACAAAGCAGGAAGAAAUAUAUCACCAAAAGUGGAUAUUGCUGUAUCCUAAAAUUAGGACAUGAUUAAGUAAACUCAACUAUAAAAAGGAAGAACAAGGACAUCAUAUAAUAUGCAAGUGGGUGG